rnacentral:lncRNA from 1 species
AUGAGCCCUUCCGCUCAGAACUUCACCACAGAUCUCGCACCUACAGAGCCGCCCUUCGGCAACCACAGCGUGGGGAGCGGUGCGGUUCACUCCAGCACGCAGCGCCACGGAACCCGACCGGACUGGAUCCUGUACGCGGUGCCCGGCUCCGCCUUCCUGCUGGGGCUCUGCCUCUUCUCGCUGGCCCUCAGAGUGAACCGGCAACGGCAGAGAGAGGGGCCAAGAACAGCGGUGAGCGGAUGGUGCUUUUCCCCUCUGGUGUCCCCCGCAGCGAUCGAGCGGCACGCCUUCCAGAGACAGAGGAAGAUGCAGAGGCAGGCGGAGCACAGCUACUCCAACAACAGGGCAAACGGGUUCUGCUCCAGCAGCCGGGACACCAGCGUGGACGUCCUCAAGGCCAGGUCAGUGGAGACCAUCUCCUACGAGAACGUGGAAGCGGUCAUCUACUCGAACCAGCAGGGUUUCAGCUACCGCGUCGCAAUGGAUGACAAAGAUGACUACCUCACCCCGGACCACUGUGACGCCACCAACCCGCCGGACCGCCAAACCAACACCGAUGGAGAGUCCUACGAGAACAUGUACGCGCAGCCACGCAGGGCCACGGGCACCGGCAGCGCGGAAGAAGACGAUUAUGUCAACGCUGAGUCAGGCAAGCCGGCGGCACUGGAGGACUAUGAGAAGGAGGAGGAGGAGGACCAGGGGGACUACCUGUGCCCUGGAAAGGAAGACACAGACGGAGAGUCCUAUGAGGACAUGGACGGCACGGUAGCCCUGCGGAGAGCCCACGCGGUGACCUGUCACGAGGAAGAAGAUUCCUACGAGAGGAUGGACAGCGUCAAUCCAUGGAGCCUCGGAGGCGCUGACAGCGAGCAGCAUGCCAGGAGAGACAAGUGCGACUCGAGGAGGAGACUGUGA